rnacentral:rRNA from 1 species
GACGAACGCUGGCGGCGUGCUUAACACAUGCAAGUCGAACGGAAAGGCCCUGCUUUUGUGGGGUGCUCGAGUGGCGAACGGGUGAGUAACACGUGAGUAACCUGCCCUUGACUCUGGGAUAACUUCAGGAAACUGGGGCUAAUACCGGAUAGGAGCUCCUGCUGCAUGGUGGGGGUUGGAAAGUUUCGGCGGUUGGGGCUGGACUCGCGGCUUAUCAGCGUUUUGGUGGGGUUGUGGCUUACCUAGGCUUCGACGGGUAGCCGGCCUGAGAGGGUGACCGGCAAGAUUGGGACUGAGAUACGGGCCAGAAGCCUGCGGGAGGGAACAGUGGGGGAUAUUGCGAAAUGGGCGGGAGGCUGGAGCAGCAACGCCGGGUGGGGGAUGAAGGCCUUCGGGUUGUAAACCGCUUUCGCCUGUGACGAAGCGUGAGUGACGGUAAUGGGUAAAGAAGCACCGGCUAACUACGUG